rnacentral:rRNA from 1 species
AGCUUGCUUCUCUUGAGAGCGGCGGACGGGUGAGUAAUGCCUAGGAAUCUGCCUGGUAGUGGGGGAUAACGUUCGGAAACGGACGCUAAUACCGCAUACGUCCUACGGGAGAAAGCAGGGGACCUUCGGGCCUUGCGCUAUCAGAUGAGCCUAGGUCGGAUUAGCUAGUUGGUGGGGUAAUGGCUCACCAAGGCGACGAUCCGUAACUGGUCUGAGAGGAUGAUCAGUCACACUGGAACUGAGACACGGUCCAGACUCCUACGGGAGGCAGCAGUGGGGAAUAUUGGACAAUGGGCGAAAGCCUGAUCCAGCCAUGCCGCGUGUGUGAAGAAGGUCUUCGGAUUGUAAAGCACUUUAAGUUGGGAGGAAGGGCAGUAAAUUAAUACUUUGCUGUUUUGACGUUACCGACAGAAUAAGCACCGGCUAACUCUGUGCCAGCAGCCGCGGUAAUACAGAGGGUGCAAGCGUUAAUCGGAAUUACUGGGCGUAAAGCGCGCGUAGGUGGUUCGUUAAGUUGGAUGUGAAAUCCCCGGGCUCAACCCGGGAACUGCAUUCAAAACUGACGAGCUAGAGUAUGGUAGAGGGUGG